UACGUAGGGGGCAAGCGUUGUCCGGAAUCAUUGGGCGUAAAGCGCGUGUAGGCGGUCCGGUAAGUCGGUUGUGAAAGUCCAGGGCUUAACCCUGGGAUGCCGACCGAUACUGUCGGACUAGAGUUCGGAAGAGGCGAGUGGAAUUCCCGGUGUAGCGGUGAAAUGCGCAGAUAUCGGGAGGAACACCAAUGGCGAAGGCAGCUCGCUGGGACGUUACUGACGCUGAGACGCGAAAGCGUGGGGAGCAAACAGG
rnacentral:rRNA from 1 species